GAAAAAGAUAAGAAUUUUCAAUGCACAUGGCGCAAAUCGUGUAACGAGAAAAAUAUGUAUCGCUCGUUUCCUACACAGGUGCAAAUCAUUCUACCAUGUCGACCAACAUAAAAGAAAGAAUAGAGAGAACAACAUAUCAAAAACUAAUGUCAGAAUAAGGAUUUCACAAAAUUCAGUGUGAAAACGCGAUUCAUUGACUCUAUCGAGCUAGAUAACUCACGAUGAUGACGGGCCCGCGUAAAAUAUAUUAUCAUUGCCUAUAACGCCACCUACAAAAAUUUAAGGAAAUAAAUUAAAAUAUCAAAAUACAAAGGAAGGAAAUCGUUGUAUAUACAUUAUGUAUAUGCUGGAUUUUGUUCGUAUUAUAUAUGAAAAGAAUGUGAAGAUUUUUCCAUUGUUCAAAUCAGACUAAAUAUUAUAUUAAUAUAAAAAGUAAAACGUCUCUAUAAAACAAAGUUUAUAUUAUUUAUUUAAUACACAUAAAAUCUGAAAUAUUCUUUUCAUCAUUUACGUACAACAACGUUCGCUAUAAAUUACAAUAUAUAAAAUAUAUAUCCUAUAUAACUAGGAAAGUAACAGUUGUAUUGUAAAAACACCAUAAAUAUGUAUUAACUACAUUUAAAAACACAUUAAGAAUACCACUAAAAUAAACAUCAAGAAUCAGAUAUUUUACAUCAAU